rnacentral:rRNA from 1 species
CGGUGUUUAACUGGCGUGAUGUGGGACGUCCUACCGGUGGGCUUAGCCUCGCGAGGGGCGGCCCAACUAAUAUCCCGUCGCGGUGCUCUUUACUGAGUGUCGAGUCGGGCCGGUACGUUUACUUUGAACAAAUUAGAGUGCUUAAAGCAGGCUAUCCUCCGCCUGAAUACUGCGUGCAUGGGAAUAAUGGAAUAGGACCUCGGUUCUUAUUUGUUGGUUUUCGCAACCCCGAGUAAUGAUUAUAGGGACAGAUGAGGGCAUUCGUAUUGCGACGUUAGAGGUGAAAUUCUUGGAUCGUCGCAAGACGGACAGAAGCGAAAGCAUUUGCCAAACAUGUUUUCAUUAAUCAAGAACGAAAGUUAGAGGUUCGAAGGCGAUCAGAUACCGCCCUAGUUCUAACCAUAAACGAUGCCAGCUAGCGAUCCGCCGAAGUUCCUCCGAUGACUCGGCGGGCAGCUUCCGGGAAACCAAAGCUUUUGGGUUCCGGGGGAAGUAUGGUUGCAAAGCUGAAACUUAAAGGAAUUGACGGAAGGGCACCACCAGGAGUGGAGCCUGCGGCUUAAUUUGACUCAACACGGGAAACCUCACCAGGCCCAGACACCGGAAGGAUUGACAGAUUGAUAGCUCUUUCUUGAUUCGGUGGGUGGUGGUGCAUGGCCGUUCUUAGUUGGUGGAGCGAUUUGUCUGGUUAAUUCCGAUAACGAACGAGACUCUAGCCUGCUAAAUAGGCGUACCUUAUGGUAUCGCGAAGGCCCCCGGCUUCGGCCGGUGGGUUUUUACUACCAACGUACAAACAAAUCUUCUUAGAGGGACAGGCGG